rnacentral:tmRNA from 1 species
GCGCUUGCGGACGCGUCGAGCAUGUACUAUAGAUAGGAUGUCGUUUGACGACUAUGGCGAUAAACGCGCACGGAAUAAGCGGAUCGGACCCGGGGGCGGUACCCGGCGGCUCCACCAAGACCCGUCGUUGGAGGGACCAUGGGGCCGAAACAGGAUCGACGGACGUGUAAAGGUGUUUGCUUUCGCCCGGUUAGGCACCACCGUUAUCGGUCCACAAAGCAUAAUUGCCAACGACAAUCAUGCUCCGGUCGCUCUCGCCGCGUAACGCGGCGCGAAAGACCGAUUUCUGAAGUCCCCGGCUCUAGCCAGUCGGGGCGGGGUCUGCAGGCGCCCGGCAACAGAAGCCUGCAUU